UUUAAUCGUAUAUUUCCAAUAGAGAUGAAAAGUUGUGAAGAACUUUGUGUUCCACAAGAACAGAUUGCCACUGAUACAUGUUGACAUUUAGUUUACGGAAUGGAACAGUAUAAUUUUUAAAAAAGAAUGUAAUUUAAAAAUGAUCAAAUAUUUCAAAACAUUUUUUAUACUGUUCAUGCUGAAUUGAUGGCAACAAAAUGGCAGGACAACACUACUAUUAAUUGGCAGUUAUUAGUGUAAUAGUACUUUUUCAUGCUAGUUUUUCAGGUUUCAGAAGGGAAAUGGAAAAGUGGUUUUUAUAAUUGUCUUGUCCCUUUUUACUCUUUAGGUGGUGCUACUAAUGGUCCCAACAGCGCGUAACGGAUGUAACAAGGAGCCACUGAAAGCUGUUGAAGGCCACAAAUAUCGCCAGAUAUGCUUCAGUCCAGCUGCUCGACUGGAGCUCAACAGCCUUCACCUAAGAUUAAAGACUCUCAGGAUGUCGUCAUGGAUUAAAAUGUCUGUCUACUCGUGUUCUGUUAAAUGUGCUAAAUAGAUCAAGCUAUGUAUUCUCGCUCUCCUCGUUCGUCGCACAUUUUUAAUUUUUUAAUUUUUAAAGACACCUGGGUAAAGAUUCCUUCUGUACCGGAAUGUACCAGUGUUCCCUGGAAUGGGCGCCAGUCUGUUACUCGUUUCAGUUUUAUCGUGUUGGUUGAAACCUGCAGAAUAUGCGACGCGGCAGGAUGAAGGAGAGGUGGGGUAGAAGGACCGCACGCGCUCGCGGUCAAACAAAACAGCAGCUCUGAGCAGUGGCAGAGGCUCUCUCCUGCUGACCUCACCCGUCUGUGAAGGCAUAAAUAGGUAUUGUUAACCCAAGACACCGAUCACAGGUCUUUUCUGAAUGUAACUGCGGAGUACCUUACCGUAGAUCCGUGUUUUAAACAAAGGGCCUGGAAUACGAGUGCAAUACACUUCUGUUUAGGAUGUACACUGAUUUGAGGUUUUGCAGUCCAAUUCAGCACUCUUUAAAAGAGUGCAUGGAAAUAGAUGCUGUGAUUGGCAGUCUCUAAGUAAUUUGUACAUAACUUGUCAAUCAUUAGACUAGGGUAUAUACAGUAAGGCUUCCAUCGGCACAUAACAGCAUUCCACUGAUGGUGUGCCAGCCAGCUGGUGCUUCUGUGUAUUUUCACUUUAUUCAGAUGGGGAAAAAGCAGAGAGCGCUCUACUAGAACUGGAAACACAGUGUAGGAAGUGGCAGAGCACUGGAAAUCAAGGCUCUGGCAGUAUGGGUGGAGGGUAGAGAGCCAGCUGCCCUGCUCAGAGCACCACACAGGCUUUUAGCUUCAACUGUUGCUAUAAAUGUUGAGCGUGGUUCUUUCCUGAAUGUGGCACCUUCAUAGGUGUCAAAAAUGACACCUAUUUUUGCAACAAAAUUUUUUUUUUUAAGUUUGAAGAUGCAUAUUCACUGGCAUGUCAACUAUGCUCAAAUGCAUAUUUUCACUGCUUCUGUCAACAUUUGGUGUUAAAAUAAUUCCUCUGUCAAGUCGCAUAAAACUACACUGGCUUACCUUUUGCAGUUGUUGAAGUCUGUACAUUGUUCAGUAUGUAAGUAGCUUUACCUGGAAAUAGCUUUUUUUUUUGUGAAGGUUCAGACUGAUUGGAAAUGUGGGGAGGAAGCUACUCAUUAUUUAUGAACUCCUGUCAUCUGUCAGGAUUACUUGAUUGACAUAUUUCUUCCUACAGCUUUGGAGAUGCAGGAAGGCAAAGAUUGUCAUACUUUGGUAAUAAUUGAGGUGCUGUGCAAAAUAUUUAAAGAAAUGCUAAACGCUGUAUUUUAUUGAGUAAUCUUAUUACUGCUUGGACUUAUUCAUUCAUUUUAUGGAAUAGUUUCCGUAUUCAUUUAUAUUUUAGCCAUUUUCUACAAUCAUUUAAGGGAUCUUCAGUGGGACACGUUUUCAUGGACGCUCAUGCAGAAUGUUCAAGCAAUACUUGCAGUUCUAUCUUUUUAACCACAGAAUUAGAUUUGGGACACUCACUGUUGUUAUCUGUAUUUAGGAUGCAUGCCUUGGUAGUGUAGUGUUCAAAUCAUCUAUAUUGGAUUGUGUCAUAACAUUUUACUGAGUUUGUUUUAAACCACACAGUAUUCAAUAAAAUGAAUUCAAUAAAAUGCUCAUUUAUUAAAA